AUUGAACGCUGGCGGCAGGCCUAACACAUGCAAGUCGAGCGGCAGCACUUCGGGUGGCGAGCGGCGAACGGGUGAGUAAUGCAUGGGAAUCUGCCUGAUAGUGGGGGGAUAACUCUGGGAAACUAGAGGUAAUACCGCAUACGUCCUACGGGAGAAAGCGGGGGAUCUUCGGACCUCGCGCUAUCAGAGGAGCCCAUGUCCGAUUAGCUAGUUGGUGAGGUAAAGGCUCACCAAGGCGACGAUCGGUAACUGGUCUGAGAGGAUGGUCAGUCACACUGGAACUGAGACACGGUCCAGACUCCUACGGGAGGCAGCAGUGGGGAAUAUUGGACAAUGGGGGGCAACCCUGAUCCAGCCAUGCCGCGUGUGUGAAGAAGGCCUCGGUUGU
rnacentral:rRNA from 1 species